rnacentral:rRNA from 1 species
UACGUAGGGGGCGAGCGUUGUCCGGAGUUACUGGGCGUAAAGGGCACGCAGGCGGUGCGGCGCGUUUCGCGUGACAGUGGAGGGCUUAACUCUCCGAGGAUGCGAAAGACGGCGGCACUUGAGGGCCAGAGAGGGACACGGAAUUCCGGGUGGAGUGGUGAAAUGCGUAGAGAUCCGGAGGAACACCGAAGGCGAAGGCAGUGUCCUGGCUGGUGACUGACGCUGAGGUGCGAAAGCUAGGGGAGCGAACGGG